CCCAGCCAAUCGGCUGAGGCCACAGCCAUUACCUCACCAACUGCCCCUAGACCCCUAUAAAACCUUUGUGCGUUUGAAACUGGCUCUCUCUCCCGGCAUCUCACCACUGCACCGGUGCAGGUUGCCCUCUGUGCUGUAAGGGAGCUGACCGGAUGUGCGAUCCAUGGGGACGCUUUUGUCUUUCAUUCACCGCCUGCUGACCUCCACUGUUGCCAACGGGAAGUCAGCCGUCAGUCUUCAGGCUGUCCUUGUGCCAUCGCUAAGCUCUCUUGGGACCAGACAUGGCCCGGUCCUGUACCAGCAUCUUGCCCCAGUCAUGGACAGAAAUGUUAGUCCCUGAAAAUACCCAGCUGCGGAGUAAACACUGAGUGUCUGCACGGGGACUCGACAACUUCCCAUCUGCUGACAGCCUUUGAACACCUGUCCACUCGGGGCUCACGUGGACGCUUCAGCAUUAGGCAAGCCUCAGUU